CGGGAAUUCCAAAGCUCCCCACACAUGAGCUCAUGGAUGGCCAGGUGCCCAGCCUUGCAGUUCAUGGCUUUGGAAUGCGUUCUCUGAGCUGGCCUGCUUCAGUACCCCCAUCUCACCACAGCAAGUACUGCUGCCUGCUCUUGGCCCUCCAAAGACAGGCAAAUCCCAUAAAGAAAACUUUACACUGAAAGUUAAUCCACUGAAGCGGAGCCCAAAAUAAGCGCACUGCCUAAUGUGCCGGGAACUGCCGGUCGCAAGGCCAGGCUGCUAGCGGAUGCCGGCGCAUCUCCGCCCGCCCGGAGCCUGCAUUUAGCGCCAGCGAGGGAGUCUGGGCUGGAGCGCUGCUUUCACACCGACUCGAGCCGCGAGUUUAUGGAUCUUGAUUGCACCCAGCAGGGAAUCCUUUUUAGUGAUGAGAGAAAAAAUAUUCAACAAC
rnacentral:lncRNA from 1 species